GACGAACGCUGGCGGCGUGCCUAAUACAUGCAAGUCGAGCGGAUGAGAGGAGCUUGCUCCUUGAUUCAGCGGCGGACGGGUGAGUAAUGCCUAGGAAUCUGCCUGGUAGUGGGGGACAACGUUUCGAAAGGAACGCUAAUACCGCAUACGUCCUACGGGAGAAAGCAGGGGACCUUCGGGCCUUGCGCUAUCAGAUGAGCCUAGGUCGGAUUAGCUAGUAGGUGGGGUAAUGGCCCACCUAGGCGACGAUCCGUAACUGGCCUGAGAGGAUGAUCAGUCGCACUGGAACUGAGACACGGUCCAGACUCCUACGGGAGGCAGCAGUGGGGAAUAUUGGACAAUGGGCGAAAGCCUGAUCCAGCCAUGCCGCGUGUGUGAAGAAGGUCUUCGGAUUGUAAAGCACUUUAAGUUGGGAGGAAGGGCAGUUAGUUAAUACCUGACUGUUUUGACGUUACCGACAGAAUAAGCACCGGCUAACUUCGUGCCAGCCGCCGCGGUAACAC
rnacentral:rRNA from 1 species